rnacentral:tRNA from 1 species
CCGACCUUAGCUCAGUUGGUAGAGCGGAGGACUGUAGUUGAAGGAGAAUAUCCUUAGGUCACUGGUUCGAAUCCGGUAGGUCGGA